ensembl:lncRNA
CAUUGCCAGUACUCUUUUUUUUGGAGCUGGGCUGUUAGUGCCACUGGAUACAGGGGAUGAAGACAUUGGGUUCUGCAUAGGGACAUAGUUCUCCUCACUGUCUCUGGGAUGCUUUGUGUGGAGAUGGAACUGCAGUACUUAGAGAAACUGGAGUUAAAGGUGUGGUUGACUGAGGACCAAUACUUGGUGACAGGUGACUUGAAAGGGAGCUCAUUGAUACUGGCUUUGCUUUUCAGCCAGGCUUGAGGUAGAUAUUGCCUGGGGGUGGCUGGAUCUUGCUUCCUCGGCUGGCAAAGUGAUGGGACAUUGUGCUCAUGAGGAUGUCAGAAUCUGGGUUUGUGGGCACAUAGUUGUCAUCAGAGCUGGCAGUGUCUGAUGCGACGCACAACAGUCUUUUCUAGAGAUUUAGCAGCCCCCCCAGGCUGUUUCUCUGCCUCGUGUUGGAUACUUGUAGUCACUGACUGGAGGUCUCUGUUGAGGGCUGCCCCACAGAGGAGUCAUGUGGUGCUGUGGUGGGGGAGCUUCAACACACUCAGACAUACAUGCCAGCAAAACACCAAUGUACAUAAAAAACAAAUCAAUUACUUUAACAUUAUAAAAACAAAACAAAAACCCAUUUUCUUAGACCCUCUCAACUUAAGCUCUCAUGUGCUUAGACCUGUAUAACUUGCAUUCUACACAUCUUAAAACAUUUCCUCAUAUCUUUUAUAACUUGUACCUAAUUCCUUAGAUCACUUUCUUAGGCCACCAGAGCUUAUUUAUUUAAGCUUUCAUAUCCUCAGACCUUAAAUAAACUUGACACCUCUUUUUUCUAGCCAUUCAUUCACUGAGACACAGGCUGACUGCUGAGAGCUGUAGAGUGAGUUCCUUUAAAUAAAGGGCUAGGAAAGAGUUGCAUUGACAUCUGGUUUGUGAUUUUAUCUCCUUUUAGGAUCUGGUAGGGAAGUAAACUGUGUUAAGGCCUAGCAGUAGCUCUAGGAAAGUGAGGCCUGAGGCCCAAUUUUUACAUAUGAAGGGAACUGAGAAGGGAGCUUUAAACUGACCAAGCCAUCUCUAGCCUGUCACCAACACCACCACAGGUCUGAGAAGGAAAAAUUUCACCUGAGUCAGCAGAAGCACAGACCAAGUAGGUCCUGAAUCUAUUAUAAAUGGCAGAGAUUUACCAGAUACCCUCACAAUCAUCCUAGGUUGUUCCCUGGUCUUGGGAGCAGAGGUUCCAGGGCAGCUCAGUCUUCAGCCGACAGGUCCAGAAGAUCCGUCAGACGUCCCACAGAGGAGGAACUUGGGGGACUGGUCUACUGUGAAAAUUGGGGCAAUCAACUUCCCUGUGUCCUCCUUGUCCACAGUUUGGACGGGGUCCUAACUGCAGGCUAGGUGAGGGCAGUUUUUCACCCAGUGGCAGGCUUUGCCACAUUUAAAGCAAACUCCAGGUGUCCUUCUUCUGUGCCUGACAUCAUCUUUGGAGGAGACCUUAGGGAGGCUGCCAAGAGCUGGCACUUCUCUCUGUCACAAAGAGGUUUUUAUUUUUUAAAGUAAGCAUUUAAAAUUCGGGGUUUAGCAGAUCUCUGAGAGUUUGAGGAUUGUCUAUCUAUUCAGUAUAUCUAAACAAAUUUUUGCUUGUUUCCAUUUACUUGUUUCUAAGCUUAACUUUGCAAAUAUGUACAGAAGGAUGAAGGAAGCUGACACCUGUAAUUAAUUACAUUAGUACUUAGCAUUGCUAGAAGCAGAGUUCUGAGGACAGUAAAGAAGCUGAUCACCUAUAAGGUGACUGACCAUUCGCUUGCAUGUCUUAGUUACCUUUUAUAGUUAACUAUUAUGGAAUAUUGCAGGUUUUUAUAUGGCUUAGUUUAUUCAAACAGGUAGAGCUUAAAGUGACCCAAAACAAAGAAGUUAGACAAAUAUUAUUGUGAACCUGAGUAAACCUUAAGAAUUUAUAAAUCUUCGAGCUGUGCGUCGGUGGCACACACCUUUAGUCCCAGCACUCGGGAGACAGAGUGCUGGGAUUAAAGGUGUGCGCC